ACUCAAAUGAAUAGACGGGACCCCGCACAAGCAGCGGAGCGUGUGGUUUAAUUCGAUGCUACACGAAGAACCUUACCAGGGUUUGACAUGCAAGUGGUAGGAAUCCGAAAGGUGACCGACCCUUCGGGGAGCUUGCACAGGUGCUGCAUGGCUGUCGUCAGCUCGUGUCGUGAGAUGUUCGGUUAAGUCCGCUAACGAGCGCAACCCUCGUCGUGUGUUAUACGUGUCACACGAUACUGCCGGUAUCAAGCCGGAGGAAGGUGGGGAUGAUGUCAAGUCAGCAUGGCCUUUAUAUCCUGGGCUACACACACGCUACAAUGGCAGAUACAAUAGGUUGCGAAACCGCGAGGUGGAGCCAAUCCUCAAAGUCUGUCUCAGUUCAGAUUGUAGGCUGCAACUCGCCUGCAUGAAGUCGGAGUUGCUAGUAAACGCAGGUCAGCUAUACUGCGUUGAAUACGUUCCCGGGGUUUGUACACACCGCCCGU
rnacentral:rRNA from 1 species